AGUGAACGCUGGCGGUAGGCCUAACACAUGCAAGUCGAACGGCAGCACAGUAAGAGCUUGCUCUUACGGGUGGCGAGUGGCGGACGGGUCAGGAAUACAUCGGAAUCUACUUUUUCGUGGGGGAUAACGUAGGGAAACUUACGCUAAUACCGCAUACGACCUACGGGUGAAAGCAGGGGAUCUUCGGACCUUGCGCGGUUGAAUGAGCCGAUGUCGGAUUAGCUAGUUGGCGGGGUAAAGGCCCACCAAGGCGACGAUCCGUAGCUGGUCUGAGAGGAUGAUCACCCACACUGGAACUGAGACACGGUCCAGACUCCUACGGGAGGCAGCAGUGGGGAAUAUUGGACAAUGGGCGCAAGCAUGAUCCAGCCAUACCGCGUGGGUGAAGAAGGCCUUCGGGUUGUAAAGCCCUUUUGUUGGGAAAGAAAAGCAGCAGGUUAAUACCACGCUGUUCUGACGGUACCCAAAGAAUAAGCACCGGCUAACUUCGUG
rnacentral:rRNA from 1 species